UUCCUCUCUCACCCGAGAUCCAUGGUGACGACGUCGCUGCCGCGAUCUCCAAUUCGGCCUAGCUCCAGUGCUCUCCUGCGCCGUUACUCGCUGGCCCCAUCGCCCUGGCUCCCAUUGAGUGCUUCCUCUGAUCCUCCGCCGCCGUGACAUCCUGCACGCCCCUGUGCCCCUGCAGCAACCCUAACACCGACGUGUCUCCUGCUCCUCUGGUUUUUGCCGGUUCACCAACACAUGCGUCUUCGCGCAUGCAGCUGCUGCCACGGGCUCAACGGUGCUGCUCUGCCUCUGCUACCUCAACUGCGACGCCGAUGGUUCAAUCACGGCUGGAUACAACAACAACCGCGGCCACUCUCAACAUGGUGGCUUCCAUUAUUCUGUUUGGGAUUUGGUGCCCCAGAUUCUUAAACGUUCCACUUGUGCAUGGGUGACAAUUAGGUUUACACUUAUAGUAUAAAAUGCUACUUGACGUAAUGAGGUUGAGCAUUUGCGUGAGUGCCGCAACUUGGGAAGAUACAUAUGACCGGCAAUGAUGGCAGCAUGUUAAUGGCAUCAUGUAGGUGUGGUGUUCGAUCCCUUCUUUCUUUGUGUGUGUGUGUGUGGCGUGUAUAUAUGGAUUCGUCUUAAUAUGCCAUGUUAAUUGUUCAUUUAGAUUGAUCUCUUUUCCAGCACGUUUAUCCCAUAUAUUUGAUAUCUCUCUCCCAGCAGGUAAUUUCAUCUUGUAAUUUGCGUAAAUGUUUGUUCGUAUUGUGCAGUGGUAAUCUAUUUUAUUUCUCAAGAAUAUUAACUAUUGUUGCGUAUGAUUGCAGGAUAAUGCAUUAUGACAAUCGCUCUGUGCCUCUGCCUAUUCUUACACUCUGACUUCGGAAGUAUAAACCGAUGCGUAGGUAAGAUCCAAAGUAAACUGGAGCCUUUUCUAAUUUUGAUAUUGUUUUAAUACAAAUUAUGAUGUAGAUCAGACUCCAUUGAUCUCUUUGUUAUAGACAAACAUGCACCAGUACACAUAACACAGCAACACCAUAGGAAGUUCCAGGACUUUUUAGUGUAUUUUCAGAGAUAGGGUGUAUAUGAACUUGUUAAAUCAGCACACCGUUCCAUAUGCUUGCUAGCAGGUAUUGGUUCCUAAGUGAGAACAUGCAUUCCUUUCAAGAAGGUGUUUGCCUAACAACCCUAACUUGAUCUCAACUAUUUCUGUUGGAUCUUUUACCUAUUGUACAAAUAUCUUUCUGUCAUCAGGUUCAUAAGCUGAAUAGAACGUGAUGCGACAUGAUCCUGGAGUACAAGAGAUACAAACUUAGGCCAGUCUUGAUUUUAGCCUAUUGUUGUGAUAAUUCUAUAGAGUUUUUAUUUCUAAGAAAAGCUUGUGAAGAGGAGAUAAAAGGAUAUGAUAAGAACAAAUGUUACUAAGCUGUUAACUAAAAUCUGGUGCUAAGAUAUCUUAGUAUGAAGGUUGCUAUACUUACAUCAACCCUUCAUUUAAAUAUAAUUUAAUCAUGAGUUGUGCAGUCAACCAUAUGCCAGUACAGAACAAGUAACAUGUGUAUAGCUUGUUUGAUUUCAUUAGUAUUUCUCCUACUAAUUCUUACCGUGUCUUCUCUGAAUUUUUUAUAUUAUCCUCUCUUCAUAGUGAUAUGCACGCACAUGAGCAUGAUAGCUUAAGAUGGAUAAUUAUACCGUGAUCCUAAAGUCUACGUUUGCUUAUCUAUGUAUAAAUGUAAACAUGACCCAGUAUUGACAAGCAUAAGGUGUGUCUAAAUUUAUUAUUUCUUCCACACUUGGCACAAUCUGACAGCCAAUUGCAAUUGACAUUAUUAAUUGAAUAUGUUGUCGUGCAUUCGUUGUAGCAAGUUUACAAGAAUAUAGCUUCAACUAAUUUUAUUUCCUUUCAUGUUUUUCUUUUGCUUAUGUUUUCUGAAACUAAAUUUAUUG